rnacentral:rRNA from 1 species
CCCGCCGGCGACCGGCGCACGGGUGAGUAACACGUAUGCAACCUGGCCGCCACAGGGGGAUAACCCGCGGAAAACGCGGCCUAAUACCCCGUGACGCCACCGGAGGGCAUCCUCCGGUGGCCAAAGGAGCGAUCCGGUGGCGGAUGGGCAUGCGGCGCAUUAGCUAGACGGCGGGGUGACGGCCCACCGUGGCGACGAUGCGUAGGGGUUCUGAGAGGAAGGCCCCCCACACUGGGACUGAGACACGGCCCAGACUCCUACGGAAGGCAGCAG